UUCACGAAGCAAUCGGAAGUGGUUCCAAGAAAAGCCUCUAAGCUUCAGUCAUACGAGACCGUACCGCAAACCGACACAGGUGGGCGAGAUGAGUAUUCUAAGGCGCUUGAGAGAACUCGGGAGAAGGAACUCGGCAAAUUGGUACCGUAACUUCGGGAAAAGGUACGCCCCGGUAGCUUGACCACUUUACUGUGGAAGGGUGAAAGGGUUGCAAUAAACUGGUGGCUGCGACUGUUUAAUAAAAACACAGCACUCUGCAAACACGAAAGUGGACGUAUAGGGUGUGACGCCUGCCCGGUGCUGGAAGAUUAAAUGAUGGGGUGCAAGCUCUUGAUUGAAGUCCCAGUAAACGGCGGCCGUAACUAUAACGGUCCUAAGGUAGCGAAAUUCCUUGUCGGGUAAGUUCCGACCUGCACGAAUGGCGUAACGAUGGCCACACUGUCUCCUCCCGAGACUCAGCGAAGUUGAAAUGUUUGUGAUGAUGCAAUCUACCCGCGGCUAGACGGAAAGACCCCAUGAACCUUUACUGUAGCUUUGCAUUGGACUUUGAACCAAUCUGUGUAGGAUAGGUGGGAGGCUUUGAAGCGGGGACGCUAGUUCUCGUGGAGCCAACCUUGAAAUACCACCCUGGUUUGUUUGAGGUUCUAACCUUGGUCCGUUAUCCGGAUCGGGGACAGUGCAUGGUAGGCAGUUUGACUGGGGCGGUCUCCUCCUAAAGUGUAACGGAGGAGUUCGAAGGUACGCUAGAUACGGUCGGACAUCGUGUUGAUAGUGCAAUGGCAUAAGCGUGCUUAACUGCGAGACUGACAAGUCGAGCAGGUACGAAAGUAGGACAUAGUGAUCCGGUGGUUCUGUAUGGAAGGGCCAUCGCUCAACGGAUAAAAGGUACUCUGGGGAUAACAGGCUGAUUCCUCCCAAGAGUUCAUAUCGACGGGGGAGUUUGGCACCUCGAUGUCGGCUCAUCACAUCCUGGGGCUGUAGCCGGUCCCAAGGGUAUGGCUGUUCGCCAUUUAAAGUGGUACGUGAGCUGGGUUUAAAACGUCGUGAGACAGUUUGGUCCCUAUCUGCCGUGGGCGUUGGAAAUUUGAAGGGGGCUGCUCCUAGUACGAGAGGACCGGAGUGGACGAACCUCUGGUGUACCGGUUGUCACGCCAGUGGCAUUGCCGGGUAGCUAAGUUCGGAAGAGAUAACCGCUGAAAGCAUCUAAGCGGGAAACUUGCCUUGAGAUGAGAUUUCCCAGAGCCUUGAGCUCUUUGAAGGGUCGUUCGAGACCAGGACGUUGAUAGGCUGGGUGUGGAAGUGCAGUAAUGCAUUAAGCUAACCAGUACUAAUUGCCCGUACGGCUUGUCCCU
rnacentral:rRNA from 1 species